rnacentral:misc_RNA from 1 species
GAUGAAGAACGUAGCGAAAUGCGAUACUUGGUGUGAAUUGCAGAAUCCCGUGAACCAUCGAGUCUUUGAACGCAAGUUGCGCCCGAAGCCAUUAGGCCGAGGGCACGCCUGCCUGGGCGUCACACGUCGUUGCCCCCCCAUCUACUCCUUCGGGAUUGCGGGGGGCGGAUGAUGGCCUCCCGUGCGCCUCGUCGCGCGGUUGGCAUAAAUGCCAAGUCCUCGGCGACGCACGCCACGACAAUCGGUGGUUGCGAAACCUCGGUUGCCCGUCGUGUGCGGUCGUCGCGCAUCGAGGGCUCGAAAAAAUUGCCGGGCUCCGGCUCGGCUUUCAACGCGACCCCAGGUCAGGCGGGGUUACCCGCUGAAUUUAAGCAUAUCAAUAAGCGGA